rnacentral:rRNA from 1 species
AUGCUGCUACUUUCUGUAUGGAGCUGGGAGCGUCUGCCUGUUGGACGCCCGAAGAGCGUCAGGUUUAAUCCUUGGUAUGAAGAUGAACAUGACGAAUUACGGCGCCCCACUUGGGCUUACAAGUGGGAUGUGGUUUCCGAGAUGAUGAACGAUGUCAAUCUCAUGUACCAGAAGUACGUUGCCGAGUUGGACACGAUUACGCCUGAGCAGGUAACGAGGUCAUUACUUCAGUCAUUUCUCAUGUUUGCCAGAAAAAAAAGUCACCAAUUUUGCAUUGUUGCCCUAUUUCAUAGGUGGAAUGGCAGCCAUAUGGCGCGGAUGACAGACUUGGGUACACCCCGGAGUUUAGCAUCAACCCGAUGUGCUUGCGGGAUAGGGAUCUCUGGCUUAUGCGGUGCCCACUGA